GAUGAACGCUGGCGGCGUGCCUAAUGCAUGCAAGUCGAGCGAACAGAAGAGGAGCUUGCUCCUCAGACGUUAGCGGCGGACGGGUGAGUAACACGUGGAUAACCUACCUAUAAGACUGGGAUAACUUCGGAAAACCGGCGCUAAUACCGGAUAAUAUCUUGAACCGCAUGGUUCAAUAGUGAAAGACGGUUUUGCUGUCACUUAUAGAUGGAUCCGCGCCGCAUUAUGUAGUUGGUAAGGGAACGGCUUACCAAGGCGACGAUGCGUAGCCGACCUUAGAGGGUGGUCGGCCAGACUGGAACGGAGACACGGCCCAGACACCUGGGGUGGGCAGCAGUAGAGAAUCUUACGCGAUGGGCGAGAGCGUGACAGAGCAACGCCGCGUGAGUGAUGAAGGUCUUAGGAUCGGAGAACUCUGAUAUUAGGGAGGAACAAAUGUGUAAGUAACUAGGCACAUCUUGACGGUACUUAAUCAGAAAGCCACGGCUAACUACGUG
rnacentral:rRNA from 1 species